AUUGAACGCUGGCGGCAUGCCUUACACAUGCAAGUCGAACGGCAGCACGGGGGCAACCCUGGUGGCGAGUGGCGAACGGGUGAGUGAUAUAUCGGAACGUGCCCUAGAGUGGGGGAGUAACUAGUCGAAAGACUAGCUAAUACCGCAUACGAUCUAAGGAAUGAAAGUGGGGGAGUCGCAAGACCUCAUGCUCCUGGAGCGGCCGAUAUCUGAUUAGCAGUUGGUGGGUAAAGCCUACCAAGGCGACGAUCAGUAGCUGGUCUGAGAGGACGACCAGCCACACUGGGACUGAGACACGGCCCACGACUCCUACGGGAGGCAGCAGUGGGGAAUCUUGCGCAAUGGGCGAAAGCCUGACGCAGCGACGCCGCGUGAGGGAUGACGGCCU
rnacentral:rRNA from 1 species